AGCAGCCGCGGUAAUUCCAGCUCCAAUAGCGUAUAUUAAAGUUGUUGCAGUUAAAAAGCUCGUAGUUGAAUUUCGAGAUCGGCUUACUGGUCGUGCUUUUGUACGUACUGGUAUAAUCGGUUUCUCCUUUCUGACGAACUUUAAUGCCAUUAAUUUGGUGUUUUAGGGAAUCAGGACUGUUACUUUGAAAAAAUUAGAGUGUUUAAAGCAGGCUCACGCUUGAAUACAUUAGCAUGGAAUAACGGAAUAGGACGUUUGAUUCUAUUUUGUUGGUUUCUAGGAUCGACGUAAUGAUUAAUAGGGAUAGUUGGGGGCAUUAGUAUUCAAUUGUCAGAGGUGAAAUUCUUGGAUUUAUUGAAGACUAACUACUGCGAAAGCAUUUGCCAAGGAUGUUUUCAUUAAUCAAGAACGAAAGUUAGGGAUCGAAGACGAUCAGAUACCGUCGUAGUCUUAACCAUAAACUAUGCCGACUAGGGAUCGGAUG
rnacentral:rRNA from 1 species